GGCUCAGGAGCAGGUGGCCCUAAGACCGGGCGGGCAUUCCUGGACCUCCCCUACACAAGCCAGCGUUCGUAGCAGCCGGACCUGCACUACAGCCGGGCCUCAGCCACGUGGUCGCACCCUGGCCCCGCCCCCGACGUCCACACGCAGUCCGCGCGGGGCCUUGUGGGCCGUACGGCACCCCCUAGUCCCAGGCCAGGGCUUGGGGCAAAGCUUCGUUGCCCCUGUCCCUGCUGCUUUCCGGCUUCUGCAGUCGCAAUGCCUUUGCCCCAGGCCUACAGUCUCAUGAACCCUCUGCCUGGGCAGGGACAGGUAACAGAGAUAAUAGGAUAAUGGAGGAUGAUGCUGUACCAGGAACUAACAAUCCAUCGGCGGAAACAUGGCCCCAAACAGCAUUCAAGACCAUACCCUUCUGCUUUAUUCUUAAGGACAAAAAAUACUGAUGCAGCAACAGCAAUCUAAGGUAUUUCAUAAACUUCUGGCUCUUCCUCUGCUCUCCUCUAAGACCUUGACUAAAAAGCAUUGGAAUAGAAAGGAGAAUGAAAUGAAAUAAAACCAUAUCCUCAGUGUUUUACUGCUCCCCCCUCACCCCCCCCCCCACCAUUCCAGGGCAAAGGCAACAACUGGUGAGAAGGAGCUGCAACUUAGAAAAGAUUUAUUUUUCCUGGCCAUAAAUCUCAUCCCCUUGUUCCUCUGCCCAACGAAGCAUGCUAAAGUCCUUUUCCAUAAAGUAUUC
ensembl:lncRNA